AUGGUUACCAACUGGUCGCCUUCGCGCCACUUUCUUAACCCCGCAAUCAUUUUCAACCCGCCUGCCCGAGCACCAAAUCCACGCACGAUCGGCUCGGGUUACACUUUAGCUUGCGUUUUCACGCCGCGAUUGAAAAGUUUUCGGGAUAGUUGCGCGUUUAUCCCCCUCUUUUGUCGGCUACAGACCGCACGGCAGCCCGAGCAAGUGAGCGAAGAUGGUGGAUUUCGGCUGCUGCAUGAAGAGCUGGACCCCCAGGAAAGGACCACCUUUCCCAUGGUGCUGGAUGCCGGCGCUGUCUAAGUAUUGCCAAAGUGCUUACAGUGCAGGUGGGGAUCAGUAGCAAUGCUGUGUAUCUGGAGGUAUUGCACUUGUCCCGGCCUGUGUAGGAACAGGAAGAUAGAGCUGAUCUGGAUUCUGACCUGAAUGUUGGCUGAAAAACUGAUGCACACUGUCAUGUUUGCCUUUGCCUGAAAUGAAAUGAUGUCUUGUGUGUGGAUAACUGUAAUGUUGAUUGAAAAGGAUUAAACGUUUUCCACUCUUUAUCUCAAUGAUUUAUUCAUUUAGAACUCUGAUGGGUUAGCC
rnacentral:lncRNA from 1 species